AGUUAAUAUAUAAUACAAUUAUAACUGUCGCAAAAUUUAGGGGGGGGGGGGGGGGCAGGGCCCAUGCCCCCCAAAUCUGUGUCUGAUGGCAUAAAUAAUAAUAGAAAUAAUAAUACUCAUACAGUACUAUCUUUCAAACAUGUGUAUUUUAAAACCAGACUCACCAAAAUAAUCCAGUGUUCCUCCAAUCUGUUCGUCGGUCAGCGUGAGGUCAAGGUCGGGCGGUACGAUGGGCGUCUGUAUGAUCCAGUCCUUGUGGUUGUAGCCACCGAACUGUGUGGUUGUGUCGGCACGGAGACGAUAUCGCGGAAUCUGCUCCUCGAUCAGACUUACUAUCUCCACCUCAUCAGCGCUGUUACACACAUCUGAAAUACAGUACAUGAAUCAACUGUAAAAUCAAGCAACCACCCAUACAUAGAUUGAAUAGAAAUACAAACCUGUGACCACUCCAACAUCUCGAGUUUUGCUCAUUGGAAUUUCAUCAAGGGCCACAACUCCGUUUUCUUUGGUUGUGUCCACGGCAGCACCAUUACACACUCCAGUAUCAUGAGCAGCCAGUUUGUCAGACUGUGCAAAACAUUGUGAAAGACUGGAUAGGCUGGCCGUCCCUGGACCGCAGUACAAUCCAGGACGUGACGAGCCAGGACGUUACUUUUUGUCCAGUUCACUUAUACAACUAAUAAAUGAUAUGUAUAUCAAAUACUACUAAUGAAACACUGUUAGUUUAUGAAACCAAUGAUAUUUACUGGUUUUAAGUAUUUUUAUCAUCAACAUAAGUGCAUAAAAUCCCAAUUAAUUGAUCUGUCGUUGUGCAAAAACAAUGAUCUCAUACAAUAUUCAUAUAGUAUACUUUUAUAACCAGUAACCAGAUUGCUUAUCCUGAUGUUGCUAAGUCUGGUGAUUUUUGUCCUACCUGUACAAUACAUGUACAAACUAAAAAGAUGAAGUAUCUAGGUGUUACUUUUUCGUUGGCUGCCGCAUCACUUCUGCAUUUAGCUCAACAUUGAUUGUACAAAUGUAGCUUCAUUUCUCAUAAAUCACAUGUCCUGCAUCAGUAAAGAUUCAUUUAUAGUUCCAUCUAUGAAUGUUCUCCUCAAUGCACGUCAAAAUUUGUUUUUCAACUUUAUUAUUUUAAAAUUUUAAUUUAAUUUUUUGAAGUUUGAUUUUUUAAAAAUGUUUUAAAAACAUUUUUAAUAUGCAUUGAGAUGGAUAUCUACAGAUGCACUAUCAAUGACACUGAAUAAGUUUAUGGUAGGCAAGACAUUUAAUUCUGAAGACUUCUUGUUUGCAAUUUACGUUUUAGAAUUAAAAUAUAUUAUAUUUGGCCUUUUGCUGGUAUUUUUAUGAUCAUCUGAUUUAAUUGGAAUUCAAAAUAUGAACCCCAGUCAGUAUAGAAAUUAGUUUUUGGACAGUUUCUUCUUUCUGUUUAUCAUUAUCUGAUAGGCCAAACUGUCAACAAUGUAUAUUAUUAAUAUAAACUGUUGAUGGUUGACAAUAGCAAUAGUUUUAUGAUCAACAUGUAUCUUUACCAAUUACAUCCUUCACUGGAGAAAUGUUGGUUUAUAUAUUCUAAUUCAUGUUUGGAUACCCGUAUCUGCCAAGGAAUAAACUUAAGGUUUUAGCAGAACAUUCUAUUUGAACAAUUCUUUGACACAAUAUUUAUUGUAUGUGUACACCAGUUUGGAUUUACAAAAUGGAAAAUUUAGUAUAAAUACAAUAUUCCUUAAAUUGGUAGAUUAUCAAUAAUUCACUGUUUGGUCAAAACAUAGAAGCAUAGAAUUGAUAAUAGUAUUUGUUUAUCUACAUAAAUCCAUGUUAAGUAUUUGAACAUGCUCCCC